rnacentral:rRNA from 1 species
GAGAUGUUGGGUUAAGUCCCGUAACGAGCGCAACCCUUGUCCUUAGUUACCAGCACGUAAUGGUGGGCACUCUAAGGAGACUGCCGGUGACAAACCGGAGGAAGGUGGGGAUGACGUCAAGUCAUCAUGGCCCUUACGGCCUGGGCUACACACGUGCUACAAUGGUCGGUACAGAGGGUUGCCAAGCCGCGAGGUGGAGCUAAUCCCAUAAAACCGAUCGUAGUCCGGAUCGCAGUCUGCAACUCGACUGCGUGAAGUCGGAAUCGCUAGUAAUCGCGAAU